rnacentral:rRNA from 1 species
UGGGGAAUCUUGGACAAUGGGCGCAAGCCUGAUCCAGCCAUGCCGCGUGAGUGAAGAAGGCCUUAGGGUUGUAAAGCUCUUUUACCAGGGAAGAUAAUGACGGUACCUGGAGAAUAAGCCCCGGCAAACUUCGUGCCAGCAGCCGCGGUAAUACGAAGGGGGCUAGCGUUGUUCGGAUUUACUGGGCGUAAAGCGCACGUAGGCGGUUUGAUAAGUCGGGGGUGAAAUCCUGGGGCUCAACCUCAGAAUUGCCUUCGAUACUGUCGAUCUAGAGGCCAGCAGAGGUUAGUGGAAUUCCCAGUGUAGAGGUGAAAUUCGUAGAUAUUGGGAAGAACACCAGUGGCGAAGGCGGCUAACUGGGCUGGUACUGACGCUGAGGUGCGAAAGCGUGGGGAGCAAACAGG